CAGUAGCCGCGGUAAUACGUAGGUGGCAAGCGUUGUACGGAAUUAUUGGGCGUAAAGGGCUCGCAGGCGGUUUCUUAAGUCUGAUGUGAAAGCCCCCGGCUCAACCGGGGAGGGUCAUUGGAAACUGGGAAACUUGAGUGCAGAAGAGGAGAGUGGAAUUCCACGUGUAGCGGUGAAAUGCGUAGAGAUGUGGAGGAACACCAGUGGCGAAGGCGACUCUCUGGUCUGUAACUGACGCUGAGGAGCGAAAGCGUGGGGAGCGAACAGGAUUAGAUACCCCCGUAGUCCCUGUCUCUUAUCC
rnacentral:rRNA from 1 species